rnacentral:rRNA from 1 species
UUGAACGCUGGCGGCAGGCCUAACACAUGCAAGUCGAGCGGUAGCACAGAGAGCUUGCUCUCGGGUGACGAGCGGCGGACGGGUGAGUAAUGUCUGGGAAACUGCCUGAUGGAGGGGGAUAACUACUGGAAACGGUAGCUAAUACCGCAUGACGUCGCAAGACCAAAGUGGGGGACCUUCGGGCCUCAUGCCAUCAGAUGUGCCCAGAUGGGAUUAGCUAGUAGGUGGGGUAACGGCUCACCUAGGCGACGAUCCCUAGCUGGUCUGAGAGGAUGACCAGCCACACUGGAACUGAGACACGGUCCAGACUCCUACGGGAGGCAGCAGUGGGGAAUAUUGCACAAUGGGCGCAAGCCUGAUGCAGCCAUGCCGCGUGUGUGAAGAAGGCCUUCGGGUUGUAAAGCACUUUCAGCGGGGAGGAAGGCGAUAAGGUUAAUAACCUUGUCGAUUGACGUUACCCGCAGAAGAAGCACCGGCUAACUCCGUGCCAGCAGCCGCGGUAAUACGGAGGGUGCAAGCGUUAAUCGGAAUUACUGGGCGUAAAGCGCACGCAGGCGGUCUGUCAAGUCGGAUGUGAAAUCCCCGGGCUCAACCUGGGAACUGCAUUCGAAACUGGCAGGCUAGAGUCUUGUAGAGGGGGGUAGAAUUCCAGGUGUAGCGGUGAAAUGCGUAGAGAUCUGGAGGAAUACCGGUGGCGAAGGCGGCCCCCUGGACAAAGACUGACGCUCAGGUGCGAAAGCGUGGGGAGCAAACAGGAUUAGAUACCCUGGUAGUCCACGCCGUAAACGAUGUCGAUUUGGAGGUUGUGCCCUUGAGGCGUGGCUUCCGGAGCUAACGCGUUAAAUCGACCGCCUGGGGAGUACGGCCGCAAGGUUAAAACUCAAAUGAAUUGACGGGGGCCCGCACAAGCGGUGGAGCAUGUGGUUUAAUUCGAUGCAACGCGAAGAACCUUACCUGGUCUUGACAUCCACAGAACUUUCCAGAGAUGGAUUGGUGCCUUCGGGAACUGUGAGACAGGUGCUGCAUGGCUGUCGUCAGCUCGUGUUGUGAAAUGUUGGGUUAAGUCCCGCAACGAGCGCAACCCUUAUCCUUUGUUGCCAGCGGUCCGGCCGGGAACUCAAAGGAGACUGCCAGUGAUAAACUGGAGGAAGGUGGGGAUGACGUCAAGUCAUCAUGGCCCUUACGACCAGGGCUACACACGUGCUACAAUGGCAUAUACAAAGAGAAGCGACCUCGCGAGAGCAAGCGGACCUCAUAAAGUAUGUCGUAGUCCGGAUUGGAGUCUGCAACUCGACUCCAUGAAGUCGGAAUCGCUAGUAAUCGUAGAUCAGAAUGCUACGGUGAAUACGUUCCCGGGCCUUGUACACACCGCCCGUCACACCAUGGGAGUGGGUUGCAAAAGAAGUAGGUAGCUUAACCUUCGGGAGGGCGCUUACCACUUUGUGAUUCAUGACUGGGGUG